GCUGGGGUGUUUCCUCCAUCUCACUCUGAGCCUGCCAGGAUCUCUAACAGCCGUGUUCUGUGUGGGUACCCUUGUUGGACAGACCCUUUCCAGGCUUCCUGCUCUGCCAGACUGCCCAGAGUUCAGGUGCAGAUAAUGGUCCCUUUCCAAACGUAAGCAUCUCUGUAACCACUGCCCUAACUCAUCAGAUGAGGAGCCUGGGGCCAGGGGAGCCAUGGGCCUGCCUGUGGAACCUGGAUCAGAGGGAGCACUGGAACCCAGUCCCCAAGCUCCUCCCUGGAUACCUGCGGGUGAGCCUCCUCAUGAAGGGGGCCCUUGGGGUCCGACCCCAAGGUACAACAAGGUGAUCUGAGAAGUUUCUGUGUUCCGCUGUGCUCACCGCCAGUGUGGCCAUCUGUCCCCACACAGUGCUGUAACAGCAUCAUUGACUCUGUUCCCCAUGCUGUGCCUUUUAUUCCCAUGACUUAUUCCUUCCGUAACUGGAACUCUGUAUCUCCUGCUGCCUUCACGCACUUUGCCCAUCCCCCACUCCUCCAUGUCCAGAGCAUCUUGCAAUGACUUCUUUGGGGUGUGCCUAGGAGCCUGACCCUGGUCACAACCAGGCCCCAGCUCCCCACAGCCACCAGCCUGGUCCGCAUCAGACUCCAGCCCAGCACCUGCUUCAGCUCCCUUCCCCCCUCAACGCUGGCCCCACACCCGCCCUUCCCGAGGGCACUCUGUGGUCAGCAGGGGCAGCAGAGCCCUGACAACCACCCUGUGACUCACGCAUUCUUCAGAGGUCCCUGAGCUGGUGCUGCCUGCCGCCUGCAGCUCCCAGGAAGGUUCGGCUCUGGCCACACAGGCGUAUCUGAGGGGAUUUGUGACCCAAGAGGUUUUUUCUUAACUUUAUUUUUAAUUGUGGUAAAAUACACAUAACAUAAAAUUUGCCAUCUUAACUGUUUCUGGGAGUCAAGUUUACUGGCAUGAAGUACGGCCACAUGGUCGUGGAGCCCAGCCAUCCCCUCCACCCAUCCCAGAACGUCUUCUUCUUCCCAGCCUGCAGCGUGGCACCCAUUGACGGCUAACUCCUCCUUCUCCCUGCCCCCCACCUGGCCCCUGGCAGCCUCCCUUCUCCUUUCUGCCUCCGUGAACUUGACUUCUCUGGGGACCUCAUGUAGGAGGACUGUCCUUUGUGACUGGCUUAGGUCACUGAACACGAUGGCCUCCAGCUUCAUCCCUGUGUCAGAACUUCCUUCCUUUUUGAGGCUGAAGAAUAUUCCACUGCAUGUCUACGCCACGUUUUGUGUGUGCAUUCAUCCACUUGGGUGGCUUUGACCUUUCAGCUACUGGGAAUAACGCUGCUGUGAACGUGGGUAGGGGUGGGGGGCAACAUCUGUGGGAGACCCUGCUUUCAAUUCUCCUAUGUUCAUACUCAGAAGUGAAGUUGCUGGAUCCUACGGUACUUCUGGUUUUAAUUUUUUGAGGAACCUCCAUUUGGUUUCCCACAGAGGAGUUAUUCUGCUUUUCCAUCAACAGUACACAAGGGACCCCUUCACUCAUCACUAGCUGUUGUCUUUCUUUUUCCCCCACACCUCUAGCCAUCCUAAUGGGUAUGAAGUAUCUUUUACCUUCAUCAUUCAUGUUUUAAAAAGUGGGUUCUUUAUGUGGAAUAAAAAUUUCAACAUCAAUUUUCUUCUUCCCAAUCUCAGUGUCUCUCUUUCUAGAGACAUUCACUGUUUCCACCCCAAAGAAUGCUUCUGGAGAUGGUCUAUGCACAGAUAAACAGAUGCGUACAUACUUUUUAAAACAAACAACA